UGGCUAACAAUUUAAACUUAACCUGAGAAAGGAACACAUUGAAAAUUGAUUUUUUUUAAACGUUUAUAAGUAGUAAGGGGCAGGGUGUGAUAAGAAGCUAUUUUGUCCAUAUGUUUUCGCUAUAAAAUGUCAGUUGCAAGAUAAAAAUGUUUGUUUUCUUCUAAAAUAAAUCUUCAUUAAUUUUGGUCAAGGUUAACAGCCCAAACUUUUUUUCUUAAAAUGUCCUGUAGAAAGUCAGAAGCAUGGCAGUUAUUAUCAAAUAGCAGGUUUCUAUGUAUGUUGGAUUUGUGUUUGUUGCAGUUCUGUGUUCCUGUUGUUUUGUUGUUUUCCUCUCAUUGUUGAUGUGUUUCUCUCAAUUUUGGUUUGUGACCCUAAAUUUCUUUUUGCUUAAUUUAUUUUAUGUCUUGAUCACCAUUAUACUACUGUUGCCUUUAUUUAGCUAGAUUUUACUUGAAGUAAAAUUCAUGUACAUGUAUUAGGAAGACUGUGGAGUGUGGACCACCAAUAAAAUAUUGCAUGAUUAAAGAGUUCAUCAGAAAUAUUAAAUAGUCAUUUGUGUUGUAGUCUAUGCACUUGAGCUUGUACUUUUAAAAUAUAUUAAAAAUUUUCUCAAUUUUGCUAAAUUUUUUUUACUCCCAUCAGAUUUGUAAAAUUGGAAUAACUAAUAAUAGCUUUAUGGAACAUACAGUUAUAUCACCUGGAAACAAAACCAGGCUCCUAUAUCAAUGUCACAUUUGUCAAAUUACAUGUGCAAUAAGUGCAAUAAGUGCAAUAAAUAACUGCAGUGAUGAAGCAUACAUGGAUGCUUCUUUAAUAAAUGAUUCUAAUGCAACAAUGUUUUUAAAUUUUCAUUUUGCUUGAAAAAUCCCUCAAACUUCAGGGGAUCUAUUCCAUAAUUGAUAGUUAGGAAUUGAUGAUAUGUGAAUUAUUUUGAUAUGUAUAUGAUUUCAUUU
rnacentral:lncRNA from 1 species